UACGUAGGGUGCGAGCGUUAAUCGGAAUUACUGGGCGUAAAGUGUGCGCAGGCGGCCGAGCAAGUCGAGUGUGAAAGCCCCGAGCUUAACUUGGGAACUGCGCUCGAAACUACUUGGCUAGAGUGUGGCAGAGGGAGGUGGAAUUCCACGUGUAGCGGUGAAAUGCGUAGAGAUGUGGAGGAACACCGAUGGCGAAGGCGGCAUCCUGGACCGGUAUUGACGCUGAGGCACGAAGGUCAGGGGAGCAAACGGG
rnacentral:rRNA from 1 species